AUUGAACGCUGGCGGCAGGCCUAACACAUGCAAGUCGAACGAGUGGCGGACGGGUGAGUCAUGUCUGGGAAACUGCCUGAUGGAGGGGGCUAACUACUGGAAACGGUAGCUAAUACCGCAUACCAUCGGAUGUGCCCAGAUGGGAUUAGCUAGUAGGUGGGGGAAAGGCUCACCUAGGCGACGAUCCCUAGCUGGUCUGAGAGGAUGACCAGCCACAAUGGAACGGAGACACGGGCCAGACGCCUACGGGAGGCAGCAGUGGGGAAGAUAGCACAAUGGACGCAAGCCUGAUGCAGCCAUGCCGGGGGUAUGAAAAAGGCCUUCGGGUUGUAAAGUACUUUCAGCGGGGAGGCGUUACCCGCAGAAGAAGCACCGGCUAACUCCGUGCCAGCAGCCGCGGUAAUAC
rnacentral:rRNA from 1 species